rnacentral:rRNA from 1 species
CCUACGGGGUGCAGCAGUGGGGAAUAUUGGACAAUGGGCGAAAGCCUGAUCCAGCCAUGCCGCGUGUGUGAAGAAGGCCUUCGGGUUGUAAAGCACUUUCAGUGGGGAAGAAAGCCUUGGGGCUAAUACCCUCGAGGAAGGACAUCACCCACAGAAGAAGCACCGGCUAACUCCGUGCCAGCAGCCGCGGUAAUACGGAGGGUGCGAGCGUUAAUCGGAAUUACUGGGCGUAAAGCGCGCGUAGGCGGUCUGAUAAGCCGGUUGUGGAAGCCCUGGGCUCAACCUGGGAACGGCAUCCGGAACUGUCAGGCUAGAGUGCAGGAGAGGAAGGUAGAAUUCCCGGUGUAGCGGUGAAAUGCGUAGAGAUCGGGAGGAAUACCAGUGGCGAAGGCGGCCUUCUGGACUGACACUGACGCUGAGGUGCGAAAGCGUGGGUAGCAAACAGGAUUAGAUACCCGGGUAGUC